UACGUAGGGGGCAAGCGUUAAUCGGAAUUACUGGGCGUAAAGCGUGCGCAGGCGGCUUUGCAAGACAGAUGUGAAAUCCCCGGGCUUAACCUGGGAACUGCAUUUGUGACUGCAUGGCUGGAGUGCGGCAGAGGGGGAUGGAAUUCCGCGUGUAGCAGUGAAAUGCGUAGAUAUGCGGAGGAACACCGAUGGCGAAGGCAAUCCCCUGGGCCUGCACUGACGCUCAUGCGCGAAAGCGUGGGGAGCAAACAGG
rnacentral:rRNA from 1 species